rnacentral:lncRNA from 1 species
GACAUGGUUUGAGGUCAUCGUUAUCAUCAUCAGCAGCAGCACUCCCUCAGUUGAAGCAAAGACGAAGAGGUUGACGCAUUCUGUUCUGCUGCCUCGCUUCGCCCACGCAGCCUUUCGCCGCGCACAAUCCUCCUGAUUUAGGAUAAGAGAGAAGAGGCAGCGAUUGGGCAACCAUGUUGCGUUUCGCGUGCACCGUGACGCUUCUCUUAUUCUGCACUGCGCUGUGCCACAGCACGCCAGGUGUAAUGCGCUCCGAGCCUUGCGACGUGAAUUCCUGCAACGCAAGCUGCACGCAACAGUG